UACGGGGGGGGCAAGCGUUGUUCGGAAUUACUGGGCGUAAAGGGCUCGUAGGCGGCCAACUAAGUCAGACGUGAAAUCCCUCGGCUUAACCGGGGAACUGCGUCUGAUACUGGAUGGCUAGAGUACGGAAGAGGCGAGUGGAAUUCCUGGUGUAGCGGUGGAAUGCGCAGAUAUCAGGAGGAACACCAAUAGCGAAGGCAGCUCGCUGGGACGUUACUGACACUGAGGCGCGAAAGCGUGGGGAGCGAACAGG
rnacentral:rRNA from 1 species